rnacentral:rRNA from 1 species
GAUGAACGCUGGCGGCGUGCUUAACACAUGCAAGUCGAACGGAAAGGCCACAGCUUGCUGUGGUACUCGAGUGGCGAACGGGUGAGUAACACGUGGGUGAUCUGCCCUGUACUUCGGGAUAAGCUUGGGAAACUGGGUCUAAUACCGGAUAGGAAUCACAUGUGGGUGUGUGGUUGGAAAGCUUUUGCGGUAUGGGAUGAGCUCGCGGCCUAUCAGCUUGUUGGUGGGGUAAUGGCCUACCAAGGCGUCGACGGGUAGCCGGCCUGAGAGGGUGUACGGCCACAUUGGGACUGAGAUACGGCCCAGACUCCUACGGGAGGCAGCAGUGGGGAAUAUUGCACAAUGGGCGCAAGCCUGAUGCAGCGACGCCGCGUGGGGGAUGACGGCCUUCGGGUUGUAAACUCCUUUCGUCAGGGACGAAGCGAAAGUGACGGUGCCUGGAUAAGAAGCACCGGCUAACUACGUG